rnacentral:rRNA from 1 species
UGCCAGCCGCCGGGUAAUACGGAGGGGGCAAGCGUUGUUCGGAAUCAUUGGGCGUAAAGCGGGUGCAGGCGGUUUGGCAAGUCGUGUGUGAAAUCCCAGGGCCCAACUCUGGAACUGCACACGAUACUGCUCGACUAGAGUCCCGGAGGGGGUGGCGGAAUUCCCGGUGUAGAGGUGAAAUUCGUAGAUAUCGGGAGGAACACCAGUGGCGAAGGCGGCCACCUGGACGGUGACUGACGCUCAGACCCGAAAGCGUGGGGAGCAAACAGGAUUAGAUA